GACGAACGCUGGCGGCGUGCUUAACACAUGCAAGUCGAACGGUAAGGCCCUUCGGGGUACACGAGUGGCGAACGGGUGAGUAACACGUGGGUGAUCUGCCCUGCACUUCGGGAUAAGCCUGGGAAACUGGGUCUAAUACCGGAUAGGACCACUGCCUGCAUGGGUGGUGGUGGAAAGCUUUUGGGGGGUGGGAUGGGGCCGCGGCCUAGCAGCUUGUUGGUGGGGUGAUGGCCUACCAAGGGGACGACGGGUAGCCGGCCUGAGAGGGUGACCGGCCACACUGGGACUGAGAUACGGCCCAGACUCCUACGGGAGGCAGCAGUGGGGAAUAUUGCACAAUGGGCGCAAGCCUGAUGCAGCGACGCCGCGUGAGGGAUGACGGCCUUCGGGUUGUAAACCUCUAUCAGCACCGACGAAGCGCAAGUGACGGUAGGUGCAGAAGAAGGACCGGCCAACUACGUGCCAGCCGCCGCCGUAA
rnacentral:rRNA from 1 species